rnacentral:rRNA from 1 species
GUAGGGAAUAUUGCACAAUGGAGGAAACUCUGAUGCAGCGACGCCGCGUGAGUGAUGAAGGCCUUCGGGUCGUAAAGCUCUGUUGUAUGGGAAGAAAUGUAUACGGCUAAUAUCCGUAUACUUUGACGGUACCAUAUAAGAAAGGACCGGCUAACUUCGUGCCAGCAGCCGCGGUAAGACGAGGGGUCCUAGCGUUGUUCGGAAUCACUGGGCGUAAAGCGCAUGUAGGCGGCUUUUCAAGUCAGGUGUGAAAGCCCACGGCUUAACCGUGGAAGUGCAUUUGAAACUGUAAAGCUUGAGUAUGGGAGAGGAUGGUAGAAUUCCUGGUGUAGUGGUGAAAUACGUAGAUAUCAGGAGGAAUACCGGUGGCGAAGGCGGCCAUCUGGCCUAAUACUGACGCUGAGAUGCGAAAGUGCGGGGAUCAAACAGGAUUAGAUACCCUUGUAGUCC